GAUGAACGCUGGCGGCGUGCCUAAUACAUGCAAGUCGAGCGAACAGACGAGGAGCUUGCUCCUCUGACGUUAGCGGCGGACGGGUGAGUAACACGUGGAUAACCUACCUAUAAGACUGGGAUAACUUCGGGAAACCGGAGCUAAUACCGGAUAAUAUAUUGAACCGCAUGGUUCAAUAGUGAAAGACGGUUUUGCUGUCACUGAUAGAUGGAUCCGCGCCGCAUUAGCUAGUUGGUAAGGUAACGGCUUACCAAGGCAACGAUGCGUAGCCGAACUGAGAGGCUUAUCGACCACACUGGAACUGAGACACGGCCCAGUCUCCUACGGGAGGCAGCAGUUGGGAAUCUUCCCAAAUGGGCGAAAGCCGGACGGAGUAAUGCCGCGUGAGUGAUGAAGGUCUUAGGAUCGUAAACCUCUGUUAUUAGGGAAGAACAAAUGUGUAAGUAACUAUGCACGUCUUGACGGUACCUAAUCAGAAAGCAACGGCUAACUACGUG
rnacentral:rRNA from 1 species